rnacentral:miRNA from 1 species
UGGUUAUGAUAUUUGGGAUUUUAUUUCUGGUAAAAUACAAUGAAUGCUAUUAAUGAAAUUAUUGAAAGUAAGGGCAAAAAUUGUAAUUACUUUUGCACCAACAUACUAUA